AUACGGAGGGUGCAAGCGUUAAUCGGAAUUACUGGGCGUAAAGCGCGCGUAGGCGGUUUGUUAAGUCGGAUGUGAAAGCCCUGGGCUCAACCUGGGAGGGUCAUUCAAAACUGGCAGACUAGAGUGUGGUAGAGGGUAGUGGAAUUCCUAGUGUAGCGGUGAAAUGCGUAGAGAUUAGGAGGAACACCAGUGGCGAAGGCGACUGCCUGGACCAACACUGACGCUGAGGUGCGAAAGCGUGGGUAGCGAACAGGAUUAGAAACCCGAGUAGUCC
rnacentral:rRNA from 1 species